GACGUAGGGUGCGAGCGUUGUCCGGAUUUAUUGGGCGUAAAGAGCUCGUAGGCGGCCGUUCGCGUCGGAUGUGAAAGCUCAGGGCUCAACUCUGAGAUGCCAUUCGAUACGGGACGGCUAGAGGUAGGUAGGGGAGAGUGGAAUUCCCGGUGUAGCGGUGAAAUGCGCAGAUAUCGGGAGGAACACCAAUGGCGAAGGCAGCUCGCUGGGACGGUAUUGACGCUGAGACGCGAAAGCGUGGGGAGCAAACAGG
rnacentral:rRNA from 1 species